GACGAACGCUGGCGGCGUGCUUAACACAUGCAAGUCGAACGGAAGGGCCCUGCUCUUGUGGGGUGCUCGAGAGGCGAACGGGUGAGUAACACGCGAGUAACCUGUCCUUGACUUUGGGAUAACUUCUGGGAACUGGGGCUAAUACAGGAUAGGAGCUCCUGCUGCAUGGUGGGGGUUGGAAAGGUUCGGCGGUUGGGGAUGGACUCGCGGCUUAGCAGCUUGUUGGUGGGGUAGUGGCUUACCAAGGCUUUGACGGGUAGCCGGCCUGAGCGGGGGACCGGCCACAUUGGGACUGCGAUACGGCCCAGACUCCUACGGGAGGCAGCAGUGGGGAAUAUUGCACAAUGAGCGGAAGCGUGUUGCAGCAGCCCCGCGUGCGGGAUGACGGCCUUCGGGUUGUAAACCGCUUUCGCCUGUGACGAAGCGUGAGUGACGGUAAUGGGUAAAGAAGCACCGGCUAACUACGUG
rnacentral:rRNA from 1 species